rnacentral:rRNA from 1 species
CCUACGGGAGGCAGCAGUGGGGAAUUUUGGACAAUGGGCGCAAGCCUGAUCCAGCCAUUCCGCGUGCAGGACGAAGGCCUUCGGGUUGUAAACUGCUUUUGUACGGAACGAAAAAGCUUCGGUUAAUACCCGGAGUCCAUGACGGUACCGUAAGAAUAAGCACCGGCUAACUACGUGCCAGCAGCCGCGGUAAUACGUAGGGUGCAAGCGUUAAUCGGAAUUACUGGGCGUAAAGCGUGCGCAGGCGGUUAUAUAAGACAGAUGUGAAAUCCCCGGGCUCAACCUGGGAACUGCAUUUGUGACUGUAUAGCUGGAGUGCGGCAGAGGGGGAUGGAAUUCCGCGUGUAGCAGUGAAAUGCGUAGAUAUGCGGAGGAACACCGAUGGCGAAGGCAAUCCCCUGGGCCUGCACUGACGCUCAUGCACGAAAGCGUGGGGAGCAAACAGGAUUAGAUACCCCAGUAGUC